rnacentral:rRNA from 1 species
CAAACGGGUGAGUAACACGUAAACAAACCUGCCUUCAGGAUGGGGACAACAGACGGAAACGACUGCUAAUACCGAAUAAGUUCCAAGAGCCGCAUGGCCCAUGGAAGAAAAGGUGGCCUCUACCUGUAAGCUAUCGCCUGAAGAGGGGUUUGCGUCUGAUUAGCUGGUUGGAGGGGUAACGGGCCCACCAAGGCGACGAUCAGUAACCGGUCUGAGAGGAUGAACGGCCACACUGGAACUAAGACACGGUCCAGACUCCUACGGGAGGCAGCAUG